AGCGAACGCUGGCGGCAGGCCUAACACAUGCAAGUCGAGCGGCCGUAGCAAUACGGCAGCGGCAGACGGGAGAGUAACACGUGGGAACGCGCCCUUCGGUUCGGGAUAACUUAGGGAAACUUGGGCUAAUACCGGAUACGCCCUUACGAGGAAAGAUUUAUUGCCGAAGGAACGGCCCGCGUCCGAUUAGCUUGUUGGUGAGGGAACGGCUCACCAAGGCGACGAUCGGUAGCUGGUCUGAGAGGAUGACCAGCCUCACUGGGACUGAGACACGGCCCAGACUCCUACGGGAGGCAGCAGUGUGGAAUAUUGGACAAUGGGCGCAAGCCUGAUCCAGCCAUGCCGCGUGGGUGAUGAAGGCCCUAGGGUUGUAAAGCCCUUUCAGCGGGGAAGAUAAUGACGGUACCCGCAGAAGAAGCCCCGGCUAACUUCGUGCCAGCCGCCGCAGUAACAC
rnacentral:rRNA from 1 species